rnacentral:rRNA from 1 species
CUUGAAUAAGCAUAAGAGGUCCAGCCUGCCCAGUGACCAUGUUCAACGGCCGCGGUAUCCUAACCGUGCGAAGGUAGCGUAAUCACUUGUUCUUUAAAUAAGGACUAGUAUGAACGGCAUCACGAAGGUUACACUGUCUCCUCUUUCUAAUCAGUGAAACUAAUCUCCUCGUGAAGAAACGAGGAUAAACAUAUAAGACGAGAAGACCCUAUGGAGCUUCAAACUAUAAAGCACCUGCCCCAGUAUUACUUAAUUCCAGAAAACCACACCUACCCAGGCAAGAUGACCCUUAGUUUUAGGUUGGGGUGACCGCGGAGCAAAAAAAAACCUCCACAUUGAAAGGAGCCAACUCCUUAGCCAAGAGCCACACCUCUAAGCACCAACAAAAAGACAUAAAUUGACCCAAUAUUUUUGAUCAACGAAC